rnacentral:rRNA from 1 species
CAAGGGUUGGGCUGUUCGCCCAUUAAAGCGGCACGCGAGCUGGGUUCAGACCGUCGUAAGACAGGUCGGUCUCCUAUCUACUAUGGUCGCGGAAACUUGAGAAGGACCUUCCCUAGUACGAGAGGACCGGGAAGGACGAAGCUCUAGUGUACCGGCUGUUCCACCAGGGGCAUUGCCGGGUAGCUAUCUUCGGUUAGGAUAAGCGCUGAAAGCAUAUAAGCGCGAAGCCGUCUUCAAGAUAAGGUUUCAUAGAGUCGCGGGAGAUUACCGCGUUGAUAGGCUCUAGGUGUAAGCCCCGUAAGGGGUUCAGCCGAGGAGUACUAAUAACUCAUUUGAUUUUCCCAC